GGGAUUCACUCUGUCUUCCCCGUUUCCUCUGCGAGAUCUUUUGGGCUAAGCUCUUGGAGCUGUGGCCUGGGCCUGGCGUAUUAGAGCCGUUGUGUACAUGUCUGUCUCCCCAGUAGACUGAGCAUCCUGAGGGCAGUGGCUGGGUCUCUUCAUCCUGUCCCCAGCUUCACCCAGCACAGGGCCAGGCACCGAGUAGGCGUCGGUAGAUGUUUGCUGAAUUGAAUUGAAUCCCCACGGCAGCUCUGUGAGGCAGGUAGGGUGGGAAUUAUGAGCCCCUCUUUCCCCAAGAAGAAAUAAAGACUCAGAAAGCGCAAAGGGGCUUGGACCCAGCACGUGGCUGCUGACGUGUUUGUGUGGCAGGUGGCGAGCUCUUCACGCAUCUGGAGCGAGAGGGCAUCUUCCUGGAAGACACGGCCUGGUGGGUGUUACUCCUCCGCUUUCCUGAGGCCGCCAGGUCCCUGCCCUACUCCCGCCUUCACCCUGUCUUGUUUCUGCAGCUUCUACCUGGCCGAGAUCACGCUGGCCCUGGGCCAUCUCCACUCCCAGGGCAUCAUCUACCGGGACCUCAAGCCCGAG
rnacentral:sRNA from 1 species